AACUAAGUAGGAGUUUCCUGCUCCAGAGGGAGUGAAGGCACUGGCAGCCACCACUGGCAGCUGGAACUCCCAAGCUACUCCACGACGCGGGAGGUUGCCUGGCAGUCAGUUUUGAUGACCAGGCCUAGGAGCCACUCUCAAAUCCAAUUCUCCCUACUUUUGAACCGAUUCAGAAGACUCGGAGACCUUGAAAAUGAAAUCAAUGAGAUGUUACUGGGAAUAUUUAUAAACCACAUCCUAAUGCUGCCACAGAUAAUGAAAGAAUACUUCGCAGAGUCAAGUCAAUCCAAGAGAGGAUGAGGAAUUUAUUUUCCAUGAUUUCCUAAAUUUACAUAACUCAAACUUCCAGCUUUUGAAUCUGAGAGGCCUUCCAUUUAGCAUCUCUCCAAUCCUCUUUUGAAGAAACCCAAACUGGACAGACAGUUACUGAAUUUUUGUAAUGUCCGAGGCUUCCAGGAGGAGUGACACAUAUCUCUGCUGGAUGAGCUCACAGUUCCAAUGAGAAGAUACAAGCUGAAAGAUUGCAGCAGAACUGGGAAGUGAAAGCACGGAGAGGCUGUGGGACAUGGAGGAGGGGCGGUAAGAUUGAGAAAGAGGUAACAGUUGGGGUGACUUUGGACCUGAGACCUGGGCAGGCAUAAGAAGUCUCACUCUCUAUUCCAUUCUUGGCAGGGGAUGUUUCUUUGUACCAGGUAGCUUUGCGCUUGUUUUGUUCCAUAAAAGUAAAUCUCUGUUCACUAAGGAAUUAUGGUAGUGAAUGGUGACUCUCCGGAAUUAUAGGGCUAAUUCCAAAAUAAUCUUAGUUUUAUUCCCCCACAUUGUAAUAUUAACACUUGGGAAUUUUGUUUAUCGCGAUGUUUAAUAAUUUGGCCAGCAGAGGGCACUGCAUACUGACAGUCUCUCCACACCAGUCGCUCAAAUCCUCAAGAGUUCCCGAAGUGUUAGGCUUAACUCAGGGGUGUUUGCAAGUGCUUUGCUCUUCUGUUUCAGACAUAAACAUAUGUCAGAAAUUAAAAGAGGGUUGUGAAGCAGGAAAUUAGAUUAACAGUAGCAUAUAAUUUCCCUCUAUUUGUUAAUAAAGAGAAAAAAUAUUGGUAUGUACACCCAUGUCUACAGGGUUUUAAAUGUAGCUGUAUUAAUUAAUGUAUUAAUAAUAUGAUAACACUACUUCUUGCAUAAAUCAACAUAACUUCUAAAUUCUCUUUGAAAAUAUUUUUGGUUUUAUAUUGUGGUUUAAUUCUCAAUCAUAAACUAAAAAGUAAAAAAACCUGAUGCCUAAUGUUAUACUUUCUUUCAAACCUUAAGAUAGAUAUUAUUGUUUGAAUAGUAUCAAAAUAUUGUGGUUCUGCACAAAUGCUUUUUAUAACUUCUUACGAUGAUAUUUUAAUUUCUAUUUCCACAUAUGGAUAUGAGUAUUCGAAAACAUUUGACGCACAAUUUUCUUCUCUUCAUCUCCCCAUUAUAAAAAUGUAAAGGUGUGUUUUAAAACCCGUUUGCUCUUGGUUAAACUUGACAAUGUGGAGACCCCUUUGUUAGCUGGUCCUAUGAGUUAAUGCACAGCCUUUGUGUUUUUCAUUUAAGGAAUAAACU
rnacentral:lncRNA from 1 species